CCCGUGCCCACACAGCCUCCGUGCCGCAGGAGCUGCUCGCAGCGCCGGGCUCUGGAGCUGCGCUCCUUGGGAAAUCCCCCUGUGACAGAGUCCUUGGGCAAUAGCACGGAGCCUACAGCUUUCACUUCUCGAGGUGUAAAAGAGGCAUUUACACAGCUUGAAGAGCUUUCACUUGUAUUUUACAACCAGACAGCAAAGGCAGGCAGAUGGCUGCUAUCAGCACGUGAGUGGCUCUGUGCUGCACCAAGCCUGAGAGCAGGCACUGCUGGACUGUGGGUGAGAACCAGCUUGCUACAAGCAUCUGGAUUACAAAACAGGUGCCAGUGAGUUAACUUUAUCAUCAUCCACUUCAACUCAAAACAGGAAAUUUUCCCUGUCAUGGAAAAUGCUUGCUUCUUGAAUGGUAAAGUCCACAAGAGAAACCCCCUCUACCUUUCAGAGAGAUGCUUUUGUUAUGUGAUUCUUGGAACAGUUUGUGAGACUGUCACGAGUAAAUAUGAAGCUUAACAUUUGUAAGCAAUUAGCUUCAUGCUGGAUAAACACAGGCCUUUUGCCCAUCACCCAUCAGAAACACCAGUUCAUUGCAAGCUGGAGCCCCAUUUUCCCCUGGGUGGAGAUCUCUGGGAUCCUCAGGGGUCUGCUCUCUCCCUGUGCUGUAGCUGCUCUGCCCCAUGUGCAUGUACAGGUGCUGUGCCCUUGCAAGCAGCUGCUGCACGUGUAUCCUGUGUGAUGUGUGCCUGAUGAGUGCCCACGGCUGCAAGUCAGCUCCCCCACCACCCUUUGUCACCCAGCCCCAGCUGGCAGUGCCACUGCAAGCCCCAGCACCCCUGCAUACUCACCAGCCAUUUUCUGGGAGCUCAGCAGGGAGGCAGGGAUACACCAAAGGGUGAGGUGCAUCCAUGGCUUCCUCUGCUGCUGGGGACAGAGCAUCCCACUGGGAGCCCUCUGCAACUCAGGUGCCCAGCUGUAGCCCAGGGCAGGUACUGCCUUGUGACUUCUUGUGCUUCUCUGCCUUUUGAUUCACACUUUUCAUCAUGUUAAAACCAUGCAAGUCAGGGCCUGGGCCGUGUGCCGUCCCCCAUCUUCUGGGCUGCUCACGCCUAUCUCUGAAAUUUACUUUCCUCUCUCCCUUGUGCUGGGAAAAGCCCCAGGUAGGCUCUUUAUUGAGAUCAAUAAUUCCUGCUCUCUGUGUACUUUCUCACCUGCCAGCUUAGUCAGUGCUGGACAGCUUCACCAUUUAUACCUUUCUGGUUCUAAGUCCACAUUCUGGAUGAAUGUUGUCUCCCUUCUGCACAUUCAACGACUGGAAAAAGGUCAGUCAGCAGGCAGCAAAACACCCUCUCCUGUUUAGAUUUUGAAUUUAUCCCCAGCAUUAAUAGAAAAAAACUUUUAUCUGCAUAGAGUUUAAACAUGACCAGUCCUUGAUUAUGGCAAAUGGUCUGUAGGAAGCUCUCCAUCCCACAGUGUGUUGGGACAACAUGGACAUGGCCUUGCAGUAGCCUGUAAUGCACUGAGAGAGAGAGUUUGGGUGGUCUGCUCCCAGGAGUAGCAACUCAGUGGGUGGGGUGGUGCUGUAGAUAAUAAUUUUGGAUGACUUCAGUGCAGCACAGAAGACUAAACUUCACACGGCUGUUCCUUGUCAAAAAACAUUUACUGCUUAGCUGAACCACAGCCAAGCCUCCUCGUUGCUGCUCUGUGGAGCUCCACGUGGCACCACACGGUGCAGACUGUCCUGCUCUUGGGGCACAUGGCCCUGCUCCAGCAGAGGUGCAAGGGCUGACAAAACUGAGCACUUCUCCUCACCAGGCAUCUGCUCCCAGCCACGCAAUGACUGAGCUGAUGGGCUCCCCUCAAGGGUGUCUAGAAACGUUCCACCACAAGUGCUUGGGAAACUAUGAAAAGCAAAGAAAAUCUCUGUCUCUGCUAGCAAAAAACAUCUCCUAAAAGGAGAAGAUAAACUACUCUUUCUAUGUGGUAGGCUCACUUUCUAGAAAGAAAAAUGCCACCAAUAGUGGUGGGAGGGAUAAAGGAGGCAGCUUGUAUAAGGAGGUGAUUUCUUUCAGCAUGAAAUUAUGCAUCUGCCUGCCACAGACCUUGCAGCAUCAGCCCUCCCUCCCCUGGCUCAGCUUCUUUCUCUCAGCAUAAGGCUGCAAGCUGCUGUGCUAAAAAUACAUAUUUUUAGCGUGAAAUAGCUGCUCCUGCAGGAGCACACGUCAGAGACACCAAAGCACUCCUUGCAAGCUCUGAACCAACCUGCUUAGACUUCUCUCCUGAGGGUGGAGCAUGAGUUCAUUGACUAGAAAGAGCUUUGCUGACAUCCCAGGUGAACUGGGAAAUCUUUCCCAUCCCUCCAUGGAUUUCUCCAUGUCCUGGGUUUGCCUUAAUUGAAUCUUUUUGGUAAGGAAACCGAAUUUGAAAGAGAGUCUUCCCAGAAGGUUUGUUCACGGUCCUGUAAGCAUGAACCUGUCAGAAUGAACAUGUAAGAAUAAUGUUACUACUUGUGCUGUGACAUUUUCCUACAAAUUUCUCAUCAUUCCAGGGUAAUUCUUUCAAGACCUGGUGUAUACAUGUAGUAGCUGCAGUGUUUAAUCCCUGUGAAGAGCUGUAGACUUUUCUGUUUGGGCUGAGAGCUGACAAAGUCUGGUUUAUCACAUGCUUCUUACCAACAAAAAAAUGUCAUUCACUAAAAAAGUCAUUCUAUCAAUCUCUGAACGAAGAGAUAAAAAUCAUGACAAAUUGAAGCCAGGUAACAUUGGAAUCACAGUCUGAUAAGGCUGGAUAAGACUGGUGGGGACCUCUGGAGAUCAUCUUGUCCAACUCCAGCUCAAAGCAGGUCUGCUAGAACAGAUUGCUCAGGGUCAUGUCCAGUUGAUGCUGAAUGUCUCCAAGGAUGGAGGGAGUUUCUUCCAUUUACCUCUCUUGGCAGCCUGCUGCAGUGCUUGACCACACUCACAGUAGAACAUGUUUUUCUUGUGUUUAAAUAGAAUUUCUUGCAUUUCAGCUUCUGCUUAUUGCCUCUUGUACCAUCAGUGAGCAUGACUGAAAAGAACUUGACCCCAUCUCCUGUAAACCCUUUCUUCAGGUAUUUAUAUACAUAAGGGUGUGAUCCUCCCUGAGCCUUCUCAGGCUGACUGCUCCCAGCUUUCUCAGUUUCCCCCUCUAUAAGAGAUGGCUCCAGCCCUGUAAUCAACUUCAUGAUCCUUCCUUGUUCUCUCUCCAGUGUGUCCAUGUGAACCCUGAACUGGACAAAGCACUCCAGGCAUGAGAGGGGACCUGCUUGCAAAGUUUUAUCUCAUGCAGCCCAUGACACCAUUGGUCUUAUUUGCCAAAGUUUCCCAGAUCUUAUUUUCAGCUCUCCUGAAAGAGAAGGAUUAUUUUCUUUCUUCCACUCUUCAGGUAUCUCUCCUGACUGCCAAGGUUACAGAGUGACCUUGCAAUGACAUUGGCUAGCCCCUCAGCACUCAUGGGUACAUCCCAUGAAGUCUCAUGGGCCUGCAUAUAUCCAGUUUGUUUAAAUGUUCCUAACAAGACCACUGAAAUUAAGCCUUUCUUGCUCUGAUCUCAGGGUAAUUAUAGCAUUGUACAGUAAGGAUGCAAUUUUCUCUUAAUUCUCUGCAGUGUUCACAGCAUGUUGUUGCUUUUUCCCUGUUGAGUUCUGCGGUAUUCUCCAGGAAAAAAAAAUACCUCAACAGCAGGUUUUCAUGUAAUUAUAACCUCUAUAUCUACCUUCCUUCACUCCCUUUUCCUCCCACUCAACUCCAGCACCUAAUUUCUAAAUCCUCCUCCUCCAUCAGUGCCUAUGAGAGAACACCAGCAGUGUAGCAUGUCCAUGGACUCACACUGACUACUCUGAGGGGCACAAGAGUUGCAUGCUUAAACCCUUGUGGUGUAUGCUUGAAAAUUUCAGCUUCGUUUUGCAGAGGAGGAGAGCUCUGGUGAAGAUUUUCCAUUUGCCUCAUCUUAUCCCCAACGCUGACAUCACCAAAUCCCCAGCAAGCAGUACUGUUGCUGCAUGUUCACAGUGAAAAGGUGAAAAGACUCUGUUUAAACAUACAAAUUUAACUUGCUACCUAGGGUGUGCUUUAGAAUACUGCAGAAUUUUCCUGAAAGAUUAAUGAUGUUAAAAUGUGCUAAUGGCAGGCGAGAGCAGCACUGUAUGUCCAUCGAGGUGGUGCAGGCUGUGGAGCUGCUCCCUGGGGAGCCUCUCCCAGCUGCCCCAUGCAUGGGAUGGCACAGCAUGGCAUGGCAGCCCACCUGCCCCACCACUGCGAGCCUGGCCUGAGCUGACUCUGCUCUUGAAAAGCCUUGGACAGGCCUGGGGAAGAACUCCUGGUGGCUGCUGUCAAGCGUGCUGCUCCUCACGCUUGCAGAGAGCAGGGGUACUCUGAAAUGAUGGGGUUUUUCCCAAAGUGCUUGUCUGUCUUUUAUGUUUGCCUCCUCAAGCAGAAGAACACUCUCUGCACUAAUACACCACUGCAGCCUUUUCAGAAAUACUGGCCUGGCCUUUGCCUGUCCAUCUGCAGAGCCCCUCAGCUGACUUGUGGAAAGGACGAGCCCUGCUCCAUUUCUUUGAGUAUGUGCCCACAUCACCCCAGCAACUCCCCUCAGCCCCAGCCUGCUCCUCAUCUUCCUGUCUGGCCUGGAUGCCAAAACCUGCCUCUUUGCUCCAUGCAGAUACUUUUUUUCCUUCUUAGUUCUUUCAGUGAGACAUGAUCCUUCUGUAGUUUCCACCAUGGUGUCACAGUUGGAUGUUGGACCCUGCUAGCUGAGAAGAUUUUCUAUCCAAGAAAACACUACCCAUGCUACAGGACAAAAAAAAAAAAAAGGAGAAAAAAUGUAGCAACUUCCACUCCCACUCUGGGAGAUCUGUUUACAGCGAGUGUGGAGAGCCAGGCUUCAUCUCCAGCUUGUUCCUGCACACCCAGAUCGUGUUUGCGAGCCCAGAGCAGGUUGCAUUUGGCAUAAAUCAGAUGUCUAAAGCCAAGUAUGGGCACACUGAACCCCUAAACAGACAGAACUGACAGUCUCUGACUUCAAGCCCAUGCCCCUGCCAGUUUGGGAUCCUUCUGAAAAGAUUUCAGUUCCACGUUCCAGUGCAUGAACUUGGAGGGAGAGAAAUCCUUCCCACAAGCUUGCUUAGAAAAUGAGAUGCAUCCCAUAAUGCACUUUCAUUUUGUGCAUGUAACAAAAAAUUAAUUAGCUGGCGUCUUUCUCUAUUAAUCUGCAUAUGACCAGUGAGUGAUUUCUACAGAGCCCAGUGGGAUAAUCCCAUUGCCAAGGUGCACCCUGCACAACACCUGGUAAAUGAGUCACCAGAAACUGUUGGGGAGGACACUGAUAGCAUAGAAACCAAAUUAAAUAUUUAGCUGCCUGCUGCUGGGGGAGUCUCACCAUGCUGAGCCAGACCACUCUGUGGCACUCCUUCCAGAGGAACAGACAGGACCCACACAGCCUCUGUUUUGCCUCUGUCGUGACAAAGGAGAAGCACUGCAGCGAUCGCUUGUGCUCUGAGGUUGAUCACAUCUGACUUUCUGCAACCACACUCAAUGGACAGAGAUGAUGAGAGUGAAUUCUGGUGCUCUUUGUGUCUCUCCAGCGCUGGGAUGUUGAUGAGCAGCGACAGUUGCACGACUGCUGUCCUUUUCCAUGGUGAAUAUUGAGAUGGAAGUGUAGAGACAUGGUGGUACGUGCUGCUUCUUGCAGCCCUGUUCUGGGAGGCUUCUGCCCCUGAAGAUCCUCACUGGAUCACCAGAAAUAAGAAUUGUGUUGGAAGAUGCCUGGACCAGCAGAGUAUUUAUGUGGAUCCAUAGACAUAUAUAUCAGUAUAUUUAUCUGUAUUUCUCCAAGUAAAUGUAAAGAUUGGUCAUUUGCUUUGGGGAGGGAAGGUCAGAGUGCACACCUUACCUAACUGCACCAGUAACCAGGUCAUACUGUGUUUACUCCACAAAACAAUCUCUCUUCAGAUCUGUGUCACACUCUAAAUGCCACCAGAGCCAAACUGCCCCCGGUAACUCACAUCACCCUGGUUCUGCCCUCCCUGAUCUUUUCCCUGUGCAAUCCCUUCACUUACCUAAUGAUACAGCACAAACCAUGAUCACACUCAUAACCCUACAACAUUUUUCUGGAGAUCAGUGGGAAAUCAUCACCAUUCAUAAAUUCAAUAAAAACAUAGCAGCCCACAAAGAGCUGAGAAAUCAAAGAGUCUGUGUCUGAACAGUUUGUGAAGAUGCUGUGGACAGCCCAUGUACCUGUGCUGGCUACUGCUACCAGAGAGAUGCCUGGAGAGCAGCACGUGCUGCUGCAAGGUGAGCACAGCACCUGGGCAGUGCUGUCAGCAUGCUGGUGUCCUGGCUGAGGUAACCCACCACAGGGGACAUCAGUGCUGGCAGCACAAAGCAGCAUCCCCACCUCUCUGAGUUCUGUUUACACAGCCCCAGCCUCAAUUGGCAGCAGCCACAUUACCAUGGCCAGCGGGAAGGUGGUUGUGUGCCAGGCUUCAGAAAAAAAAAUGGCAUUUCCCUGUCUUCAAAGCCACUGAGCUGUGUAGCCACCAUGUUUGCAGAUGCUCCCUCUUUAGGGAAGAGAGCUUUUAGAGCAAUAACCUCUCAUCUUGCAUCAGUGUCAUGUGGGACACUGAGCACCAAAAGGACAGCGGGACACCAAAGUGAAGAACAGUACAUUUUGCUUUGAAGUUUCUGUAGCUGGUUAUGGAGAGAAAAUAGUUUUACUAUAAAGUCCAGUCUGUCCAGAUUUGUCAGUAGAAAAUGUCCAGUGGGGUUUUAGUUAUUUUGCACAUUUAAGAACAGAUGUGAAGCUGAAUUUCUGUUAUUCCUGCACAUUUCUCAGCUAUCCUUUGCCAGCAGAAAUUUCAUGUUUUAUACCCCAAUGCACUUCCUCUCCCACUGCUGUAGUCCUGAAGUAUUUAAAUCAUAACUUUGUAAGUUCAGUUCACCGUAAAAAUAAAAUAUAUUAUAGCGUCUCA